ACUAUUUUGACAGAUUAAUGUGAUGAAUUUAGAAUUCAUUUAUGUGGAUUUUUCUACAGAUAGUA
rnacentral:tRNA from 2 species